rnacentral:rRNA from 1 species
UACGUAGGUGACAAGCGUUGUCCGGAUUUACUGGGCGUAAAGAGCGCGCAGGCGGUCGUUCAAGUCGAGUGUGAAAGCCCCCGGCUCAACUGGGGAGGGUCAUUCGAUACUGAUCGACUCGAAGGCAGGAGAGGGUAGUGGAAUUCCCGGUGUAGUGGUGAAAUGCGUAGAUAUCGGGAGGAACACCAGUGGCGAAGGCGGGUCUCUGGGCCGAAACUGACGCUGAGGAGCGAAAGCGUGGGGAGCGAACAGG